GAGAGGGAGAGAGAGAAAAGUAUUGACAGACACAAAAGAGUGUCAGUAGAUUUGUUUUGAAAGCAAAAAAGAAAAGUAGGUUUUUGAUGAAACGAGAGCAAAGCACUGACAGAAGUGGAAAGAGAGGAGGGAGGAAAAGAGCGACCGAUAGAACGUGCGCUGGGGGGCUCGAGCCGCCGAUCGUCAUCACACAGAUCAAGAUGUGAAAGAUGAGGCCAGGUUCUAAUGACUCAUCCUUUGACAUUUUAUGAAUAAUCCCUGACACAAUCUGAUCAGCCGCUCAGUCUCACUCAGAGGGGUCUCGGGUCACAUCUCUCUCUUUCUCACGUUCAUACUGCGCUACGAUGGAGUUAUGGUGCAUUAGUUUAUCUGUGUUUCUGUGCCAACUGUUUGCUGUCCAAUGUCUCCAGUGUUCUGGGCAACAGUAUCCCUGGCCAUUAGCCAAUCCCACAUUAUGCUGUGACAAGUGUCCACCAGGUAAAUACAUGGAAAAACGUUGUGUGCCAUCAAAGAUGCAACAAACUGUGUGUCGUUCCUGCCAAGUUCUGUUCUACACAGAAACCUACAACACUAAGCAAGCCUGUGAUAUCUGCACACUGUGCACAGAGGACUUAGUGUAUGAGUCCAUGUGCUCGACCAGUCAGAAUGCUGUAUGUACCUGUCAGAAAGGACAACAGUGCAGACAAAAGCCCUGCCAAAGUUGUGAUCCCGCCCCCAGCCAGCCAACAACCAAUAACACAUCGGCUGACACAGUGCUCCACCUUACUGAGACCAGUUACUCAUCCACACCUGUGUCUCUUACAACACCUGGAACUGGGCUAGCCACGAAACCAAGAGAAAAUGACAGCAAGUGGAUCCUCAUUUGCGUCCUCUUGUCCUGUAUGAGCUUCGGGCUCCUGCUAACUGUAUGCAUACAGUUGCACAAACGUGAACUACCCUGGAUCCGAACUACAAACAGGUGCUGGCUUCCGAAAAAGACGACUGUAACUCAUCCAGUGGCACAGGAAGAGGAAGUACCCAUGCCAAUCCAGGAAGUGCAUUGGAAGACUGAGACAGAAGUCUGACUGGGAAGCAGGGUUGGCAUGACAACAUUGGACCAGGCUAUGGAUUAACUGGAUUUAAUGACAUUACCUGACACGGGGACUAAAAAGAAGGGUACAUUUGGGUAAUCUGGGACACCUAAACUCCAGAGUGUUUUCUUCCCUGCUAUGACAAGUUCUGUGUCUAGUCCAUAGAACUUUGACUUUAGGUUUAGCAUGGAUGUUAUGUGACUGAAAUCACAAAACGUGAUCUGGUGUGGUAUCACAGCAAGGGUCAGGUCACUGUGACCCGAAGGCAACACAAGGGUUCAAGUGUUUUUCUCAGUGGAUAUCCGACAAUUAUAUUUUGUUCAUCGGCAAAGAUGACAAUCCUAUGAGAGGGUUCUGAUCUGGUACCCAUUUGCGAAGGUUUUUCUCUUGUGUAUGUCAUAUGUCAGCAUCUCGAAAUCUUUGUUCGGAAGAGCAGCGAACAUGGAGCGUAGGAGACAACAUCUGCUUUGAAGUUAGACUUUAGCAUUUGAUGUGACCUCUGAUAAAACGUGGGUGGAUGUGCAGACGAGACAGAAAGAGAGCAAAAAAGAGUCAGAUUGAAAAUGUCUACUGUAUGUAAGUUAUACUUACUGUAUAUGGAACUAGGACUGUGGAUCAGAGUUUAUCACAUGUAGGGAUGUUAAACCCACCACCCGGCUGCUUACAUGUUCAGUACAUGUUGAAGUUGAAGAUGUUUUAUGUCUUUUAAUCUGUAUGAUCUGUUCUGAUUGUAAUUUGUUUAACCACAUGCUCUUCUGGUUCUACCCAUUGGCACUUAUUUGCUUU